UACGGAGGGGGCUAGCGUUGUUCGGAAUUACUGGGCGUAAAGCGCACGUAGGCGGUUUUGUAAGUCAGAGGUGAAAGCCCGGGGCUCAACCCCGGAAUUGCCUUUGAGACUGCAUCACUUGAUCGUCGGAGAGGUGAGUGGAAUUCCGAGUGUAGAGGUGAAAUUCGUAGAUAUUCGCAAGAACACCAGUGGCGAAGGCGGCUCACUGGCCCGAUACUGACGCUGAGGCACGAAAGCGUGGGGAGCAAACAGG
rnacentral:rRNA from 1 species